CUUAUUUUAGGAUCAAAAGAAACGUUUCUUGGUGGACAGGUGGCGCGAUGAGAUUAAUUUGAUUUUUUUCUUCUCUUCCAAUUGAUUCCCACGUCUGAUUCUCCAUGGAUUCGGCGUCGAUUUGGUUCCGGUGAAGCAGACGGAUUUGAUUCCGGUGAAGAUCGAUCUGUCGAAACCCUAAUAUUUGGGGAAGAUUCAAGCACUUCGAUUGCGUUAGUUGAGCUCAAGCAAGUCACAGUUAAGGCGACAAGGAAACAACAUUUCAACCAACCGAAAGAGAACAAGGAACACAUGGGGCGAUAUAUAUAUGACUCUGCUUUCUCGGGAAGUAAUGGUUAUCUGGUUGACGAAGAAUCUAGCCAUCGGCUAUAUGAUAACAUUUUUCUUACUCGGUAUUGUAUAUAUCACAUGCUUUUGUUUUUUGCUACUCGUUCAAUAACCAUCAGCUGUU